rnacentral:tRNA from 1 species
UGGUGGUUCAAUGGUAGAAUUCUCACUUCCCAUGCAGGAGACCUGAGUUCGAUUCUCAGCCA